UACGAAGGGGGCUAGCGUUGCUCGGAAUCACUGGGCGUAAAGCGCACGUAGGCGGACUCUUAAGUCGGUGGUGAAAUCCUGGAGCUCAACUCCAGAACUGCCUCCGAUACUGGGAGCCUUCGAGUCCGGGAGAGGUGAGUGGAACUGCGAGUGUAGAGGUGAAAUUCGUAGAUAUUCGCAAGAACACCAGUGGCGAAGGCGGCUCACUGGCCCGGAACUGACGCUGAGGUGCGAAAGCGUGGGGAGCAAACAGG
rnacentral:rRNA from 1 species